UUUGUGAUCGAAAAUAAAGCUUCUCUGUCAUAUACAGAUACAGCUAAGAAAAUCAAAAAACAGUACAUCACGGAGUGCACGGAGCAACUACACCUCCUACAUCCAGAGGUGGUCCUCCGAAUGGUUGGCAACAAAAGAGGCCAUUCAAUCUGCAGCCCCGUUGGCCUCUCUAAAUACGUGCUUCUCCUAAAGCACCAACCCAUCAGAAAUCAUAGUUCGAAUAUCUCUCAUUUCCGACCUUCCGAACACCUGCUGGAUCCAUCCAAUGACCGUCGCAGAGUGGCUCUCCAUCAAGAUCUCUUUCCUACGCCAGGUAUGUCGAACAUAGCACAACCUCUCUCAAAC
rnacentral:lncRNA from 1 species